rnacentral:rRNA from 1 species
ACCAUUUUUGAGUAUGAGAAGGAUCCUUUUUGAGUUUCCAUUUCUUCAUUUGAAAACCCGAGCUCUUCUAUCUUUGACUUAUUUUUUGGCUUUAUUCUUUAUUUAUUUCAUUUUGAUUUUUCCCUCUUCCUUUAUCCCUAUCCUCUAGGUACAACAUUUGCAUCAAUAGAGAACAUUUUUCUCUGUAUAAAACUAUAUUAUUCCAACUUCUUCCCGAAACUUUCUAAGAAAAAUCCCGAAUUGAAACCAAAAUUGAUGUGUUAA